UGACCUUCGGGUCACCUAGCCAACUGACGUUGUUAGUGAACCGAGUGUUCACAAACGUAAGCCAGUAGAACAAUUACUACUGGCUCUUUUUUGU
rnacentral:sRNA from 1 species